GGAAAACUCACCAGGUCCAGACGUAGGCAUGAUUGACAGAUUGAUUGUUCUUUCUUGAUUCGGUGGGUGGUGGUGCUUGGCCGUUCUUAUUUGGUUGAGUGAUUUGUCUUGUUAAUUCCGAUAACGAACGAGACUCUGUCCUGCUAAAUAGUGUCUGCUUCUCUUUUGAUCAUACAAUUCUUCUUAGAGGAACUGAGCAAUAA
rnacentral:rRNA from 1 species